ensembl:piRNA 21ur-457 ncRNA
UUAUUUCACUUCAUUGAUGCA